GCCUGCAUAUCAGCCCACUUGGUUAGAGUGUGGUGCUGGUAAUGCCAAGGUUGCAGGUUUGAUCCCCGUAUGGGACA